GACGUAGGGUGCAAGCGUUGUCCGGAUUUACUGGGCGUAAGGGCGCGUAGGCGGUCUGUUAAGUGGGAAGUGAAAUCUCCAGGGCUCAACCCGGAAACUGCUUUCUAUACUGGCAGGCUGGAGGGAUGCAGAGGUGUGUGGAAUUCCUGGUGAAGCGGUGAAAUGCGUAGAUAUCAGGAGGAACACCCAUGGCGAAGGCAGCACACUGGGCAUCAUCUGACGCUGAGGCGCGAAAGCGUGGGUAGCAAACAGGAUUAGAUACCCGUGUAGU
rnacentral:rRNA from 1 species